UAAGGACCUGUGAAAAUUUUAUCCUCUAGGAAAGCAAGAAGAAUAGAGGGGGAAAAAAAUCCAGAACCAACUUUUCAAACUCUGGAAAUUAACCGAAGGCUUGCAUCAAUAUGGGGAGCAUUUAAUCAAGAAAAAUGGCUGAAUCUGAGUGAGAAGAAUGACUUCUGUCACCCUCUCUCCAGCUCUGUGGCAUCCAGGAUAACAGUGAAAAACAGCCACCAGACAACCACUGGGGAGGCACAAUGGGGUUGGCGCUCCUUCCAAGUCAUUCUCAAGUUUGUCCUUCCUUAUUUUCCUUGCCUGGUGGUUCACUGGGAGAACCUGCUUGCAGGCUGUUUUUGAUUAUCCUGACUUGGAGCUGAUCCAGCGUGAAAAGCCUCUCUUUGAAAGUAUUUGUGAGAAGCAUUGGGCAUCAUCUACCUCUGAGGUUUCCCGUGAUAGUGGGUAACAGUUGAUGCACCCGCUGGGCUCACCAAAAAGCUUCAAAGGAAAACCUGGAGAAUGGGACAGUCACAGCUUCUGAAGAACUCUUGAGAUAAGCCUGGGAAUCUAGAAAACCACAUGGAUGUGGAGGACCAUGGGAAUGCCCAGGGCUGUGUAUAUGUACAGGAAAAAAAAACUGGUCAAAAAAAAAAAAAGUUUGACCUCUGUCUGUCUUUAAGUCUCUGCACAAACAGGAAGAGAAGACGAAGGUGAGCCGUCAGCUGUUUGGUUGAAAGUCAAAGGCAAACAUCAGAGCUCUUGGGCAAGGACUGGGAAGCUUGUGAGUUCCUGGUAUUUAAGCGAAUCCUUGUGCAAUUGCUGGUUGACCACUAAGAAACCAAGAAAAGACGUGAGUGACUCCACUGAGGUUCAAGAAUCUAAACUUUACACAGUUAGUUCAUGAAAGUCCUGAAGUAAAUAAUAACAGCAACAAGAGUAAACAACAACAAACCCUGUGGAGGAAGAAAAGAUCUGAUACCCAGACGAUACACACGAUAUUACUAAAAAUGUCCAGUUUUCAACAAAAUUUAUGGGCCAUACAAAAAACCAAACCAAAAUCAGGAAACAAAAAUCCCCAAGACCUGUACUCAGGAAAAAAAGUGAUCAAUAUAUUUCUUUCCUAGGGAAAAACUGCUGAUGUUGGAUUUAAUAGAGACUUUAAAUAAGAUAUUUAAAAUCUAUUCAAAGAACUAAAGGAAAGUGGAAGAAUGAUGUCUCACUGUGUAGAAAUUAUUAAAUAAAGACAGAAAUUAUCAAUAAAGGAAACAAAUUAAUAUCAUGGAGUUGAAAAUUAAAACAAAUGAAAAAUUCGUGAGCGAUAAUUUGCCAGGCAUGGUGGCAGAUGCCUGUAAUCCCAGCUACUUGGGAUGCUAAGGCAGGAGGAUCGCAAGUUCAAGUCUAGGCCAGGCAACUUAGUGAGACCCUGUGUCAAAAUAAAAAAUUAAAAGGGCUGUGGAUGUAGCUCAGGGAGAGAGCACCCCUGGAUAGAAUCCCCAGUACCAAAAUAAAUAAAUCAACAAACAAAUAAAUAAAAUAAAAGAAGUAAAUGAAAAAUAAAAUCAGAGAAUACCUCACUGGCAGAACUACCCCACCAAGAUAUUAAAGGGAAUUCCUAAGACUUGUAUGAAAACACACAAGAUAUAGACAGCAUGAGAGUAACUUGAAUCCUCUCGAAGAAAAAAGAAAUAAAGAACACCAAUAAGGGUGGUUUAUGUAAAGGAAAAUAUCAUUGUAGUUUUUGGUCAACAACUGUAUAAAAACAAUUAUAAAUAAGUAUUGAUGGGCAUACGUGUAUACAUCUAUACUGCAUAGGGCAAUAGCAUAGAAAGGAGAGAAAAGACAAUUGAGCUACAUAGAAGACAAUUUUUGUAUACUAUUGAAAUUUUGUAUUAAUCUAAUUUAGAUGAUGAUACAUUAAGAAGUUAAUUAUACUCUCUAGGGAAGUCACUAUGAAAAUAGCUAAAAGUCUAUUCAGUUAUAAAAGGGACAAAGGAAUUAAAAUAGCAGACUAGAAAGCAUUUAUUCAACACUAAAGAAGGUAGAAAGAUGAAAAAAGAGACAUAGAAAACAGCAAAAUGGCAGAUGUAAAUUCUACAUCAUUGUUAUUAUAUAAUUUUAUUAUAUAUAAUUUUAUUUAUAUAAUACAUAUAUAUGAUUUUAUUAUAUAUAAUUGAUUAAAUACUCCAGCGAAAAAGCAG
rnacentral:lncRNA from 1 species